CGAACGGUAACAGGUCUUCGGAUGCUGACGAGUGGCGAACGGGUGAGUAAUACAUCGGAACGUGCCCGAGAGUGGGGGAUAACGAAGCGAAAGCUUUGCUAAUACCGCAUACGAUCUCGGGAUGAAAGCAGGGGACCGCAAGGCCUUGCGCUCACGGAGCGGCCGAUGGCAGAUUAGGUAGUUGGUGGGAUAAAAGCUUACCAAGCCGACGAUCUGUAGCUGGUCUGAGAGGACGACCAGCCACACUGGGACUGAGACACGGCCCAGACUCCUACGGGAGGCAGCAGUGGGGAAUUUUGGACAAUGGGCGCAAGCCUGAUCCAGCCAUGCCGCGUGCAGGAUGAAGGCCUUCGGGUUGUAAACUGCUUUUGUACGGAACGAAAAGACUCUGGUUAAUACCUGGGGUCCAUGACGGUACCGUAAGAAUAAGCACCGGCUAACUACGUGCCAGCAGCCGCGGUAAUACGUAGGGUGCGAGCGUUAAUCGGAAUUACUGGGCGUAAAGCGUGCGCAGGCGGUUAUGUAAGACAGAUGUGAAAUCCCCGGGCUCAACCUGGGAACUGCAUUUGUGACUGCAUAGCUAGAGUACGGCAGAGGGGGAUGGAAUUCCGCGUGUAGCAGUGAAAUGCGUAGA
rnacentral:rRNA from 1 species